rnacentral:rRNA from 1 species
AUUGAACGCUGGCGGCAUGCCUUACACAUGCAAGUCGAACGGUAACGCGGGGCAACCUGGCGACGAGUGGCGAACGGGUGAGUAAUGUAUCGGAACGUGCCCAGUUGUGGGGGAUAACUGCUCGAAAGAGCAGCUUAUACCGCAUACGACCUGAGGGUGAAAGCGGGGGAUCGCAAGACCUCGCGCAAUUGGAGCGGCCGAUAUCAGAUUAGGUAGUUGGUGGGGUAAAGGCUCACCAAGCCAACGAUCUGUAGCUGGUCUGAGAGGACGACCCGCCACAGUGGGACUGAGACACGGCCCAGACUCCUACGGGAGGCAGCAGUGGGGAAUGUUGGACAAUGGACGCAAGUCUGAUCCAGCCAUGCCGCGUGCGGGAAGAAGGCCUUCGGGUUGUAAACCGCUUUUGUCAGGGAAGAAACGCUCUGGGUUAAUACCUCGGGGUAAUGACGGUACCUGAAGAAUAAGCACCGGCUAACUACGUGCCAGCCGCCGCCGUAACAC